CUUUUUUUUUUUUUUUUUUUUUUUUUUUUUUUGCAGUUCACAGAGGUAGGAGAAUAUUAUUUACACAGGGCAUUUUUUAACUUUUCAAAGUGCUUUUACCAUCAUUAGGUUUUGUAACGUGUGUGUGAGAGAGUGUGUGUGUGUGUGUGUGUGUGUGUGAAGCCAGAAGGUGUUUCUUUGACCUUAAAUGAAAAAGCCUAAGAGGAUUUAAGGCCACAGAAUUAGAACCCAGAGCCCCCUUCAACACUUCUCAAAGUUGAAUUUGCAUACAAAUUAUCUAGGGAUUCUGUGCAAAUGCGAUCAUGAUUCAGAGAUCCUGCAUUCCUAACAGAAUUCCAGGUUACUGUUGGUCCCCUGGCCAUACUCUGAGUAAUGAGGUUAGACAUUGACACAGGGUGAGUAUUAAACUCUCACCUAAAACCUUUAGCAAAAGAAAGAGAGCUCACCUUGAAAAAACCUUGAUACUGUUCUCAAGCAAGAUGAAAUGUCUUUGGAGUUCCUGACGUGGCUCAGUGGUUAACGAAUCCAACUAGGAACCAUGAGGUUGUGGGUUCGAUCCCUGGCCUUGCUCAGUGGGUUAAGGAUCCGGCAUUGCCGUGAGCUGUGGUGUAGGUCACAUACAUAGCUGGGAUCCCAUGUUUCUGUGGCUGUGGCAUAGGCCAGCAGCUGUAGUUCCGAUUUGACCCCUAGCCUGGGAACCUCCACAUUAAGAAAAAAAAAAAACAAAAACUAAGAAUCACAACAACAUAAUAAGUACUAACUGAUCCAGAGCCAUCAAACAAAAGAGAGUUUCUGACUCCAUAGCAAGGGAAAACUUUACAGAGGAGAUGAAAUUUAAGCUAGAUUUUGAAGGCUUGUUGGGAUUGUAAUGUAGGGAAAAUGAGAAAAACACUUAAGGCACAAGGUUAUCUAGAGAGCAAACACAGUGGUUGCCAGAGGGGUGGCGGGUAAGGGGAGGAGAAAAAUAGGUGAGGGACAUUAAAACAUACAAAAUUCCAGUUGCAAAACAAAUGAGUCAGAGAUGAAAUGUACCCUAUCAAAAAUUAUGUAAUGUUUUUGUAUGGUGACAGAUCAUUUUGAAAUGUAUAGCAAUAUUAAAUCACAAUGUUGGGUACCAGGAAUUAACAUAAUAUUGUAGCUCAGUUAUACUUCAAAAACAAAACUCAUUCAUUAAAAAAGAGAUCAGAUGUGAGGCAGUGCUGGGGUUAGGUGGCGAGGAAUUGGAUGAAGGUGGUCAGUAAGUACUAAGGGUGCAAUGUGCAACAUGACAAAUAUAAUUAACACUGCUACUUGUAAUAUAUGAAAGUUGUUAAGAGAGUAAAUCCUGAGAUCUUAUCACAAGAAAAAGUUUUUUCUAUUGCUUUAAUUUUGUAUCUGUAUGAGAUGGUGGAUGUUUACUAAACUUAGUGUGGUAGACAUUUCAUGAUGUAUGUAUGUAAGUAAAAUCAUUAUGUUCUACAUUUAAACUUAUACAUAGGUGCUGUAUGUUAAUUAUAUCUUAAUAAAACUGGAAGAAAAAACUACCUAGUAAAGUGAGCAAAUGCUGUUGGAAAAAUGGUGCCUAUAUUUGACACAGGGUAGCUGAAGACUUUAAUUUGUAAAAAGUGUAGUAUAUGGGAAGUGCAGCAAAGUGACAUAUGCAUAGGCAAAUAUUGCUUAAAAAAAAAAACACAAAUCAAGGGUUUGUGGCAACCCUACCUUUUUCAAAUGAUGGUUAGCAUUUUUUAGCAAUAAAGUAUUUUUAUAUUAAGGUAUAUUCAUUUUUUUAGGCAUACUGCUAUUGCACACUUAAGAGGUUACACUUUAGGGUAAACAUAACUUUUUUCUUUUUUAGCCACAACCACAGCAUGUGGAAGUUCCUGGGCCAGGGAUCACAGUAGUGACCUGAGCCACAUUAGUGACAACACCAGUCCUUAACCCACUGAGCCACCAGGGAACUCUUAAACAUAACUUUUAUAU
rnacentral:lncRNA from 1 species